AUACUACAAGGUCCUAGAAGAUUUGAGAAAAAUAUGGAUUAAAUAUCAGAAUGAGACUGCAUUUCAAGAGCCACCAUUAUCACUUCAAGGUGGCACUUUCAGUUCAUUUUUUGAGCUUUUCCACUGCUUCUGAUGUGCAGCAGUGUGGAAAGCAGAAUAUGACAGGAGGAGGAGGAAGAGGAGGGAGAGGCAAAGGGCAAGAGGAGCGGGUGACCAGAGAGAGCUACGUAGCUCUGGGGGAGAGACUGAAACAGCUACAUUAA
rnacentral:lncRNA from 1 species